rnacentral:rRNA from 1 species
UACAGAGGGGGCAAACGUUGUUCGGAAUUACUGGGCGUAAAGCGUGUGUAGGCGGCCACGUAAGUCGGAUGUGAAAGCCCCGGGCUCAACCCGGGAAGUGCACUCGAUACUGCGUGGCUUGAGUACUGGAGAGGUUGGUGGAAUUCUCGGUGUAGAGGUGAAAUUCGUAGAUAUCGAGAGGAACACCGGUGGCGAAGGCAGCUCGCUGGGACGGUACUGACGCUGAGACGCGAAAGCGUGGGGAGCAAACAGG